rnacentral:other from 1 species
AAAUGCCUGGGAUGUUCGAGAACUCUUGCUAUUUAGAACCUACAUUUACUUUUAACGGGAUUCCUAUAUGAACUGUUGGAUGUCAGGCCGCCUCGUAUCAGCGGAAGGCAGAAGGCAGGCUGCGGUUACCCACCUAGCUUUAGCUAGGAGUCUAAAUUGCAGGAAACGGCAUUUUGGGUUUUUG